CUUUUACCCAGAUUCCGAUUACACAGAUGGCGCUAUUACCCAGAUCCCUUUGACACAUAUCCCGAUUACGCAGAUUGUGAUUAAACAGAUUUUCUAUUACACAGAUUACUUAUUACUCAGAUAACCGAUUACACAGAAAAUCUUUAACGCAGAUCCCGAUGACGCAGAUAAUUUAAAUUUUUAAAUGAUAAAUGCCAUAAUAAAGCCAAGCACUAAAAGUGCCUGAAAUUUUUAAAUUGCCGCCAUCAAAACAUGCCGGAUGAGCAUGUAAUCUAGCUAUUGGUUGAAUUUAAGGUUCAAGGUGUGCACGGAGCGCUUUAUUGAAGUAUCUACAGUGUAUAUGUGUAAAAUCCCGCGUUGGUUGAAUUUUUUAUUAGAUACUUGAUAUAAUGAAUCAACAAAAUUACAGGUUAAAGAUUAGAGCUAUAUAGGGAGCCCUGAAAUGGAGAGCAUGUUAAUGUGGAUCCGAUUUGUGGAUUAUGAGCAGUAUUUUAAAACAAGACGGUGGUCUGAUGUCGACUUUCCCCGUAAAUCCCUCUGGAAG